AGAAGAGGUUUCCAAGCCACAGAUAAAAUGAAGCAGCAAAAAGGACUAAAGAAAGAGGGAGGAGGAAUGAGCGAACAGAGCCGUCAGAGAAGGCACUGUUUGCAGGAAAGGAGGGACUACCCUCUGGAACAGUAGAAAUGAUCGAGCCUGGUUAGUUCCCAUCAGAACCCAUCUUCUCUCCACUGGGGCCCAGCUCUGAGGGAAACUCAGAAGGAACCGGAGGAGGCGGCUUUGAAGGCCACCUGCCAACUGCCCGCACAAUUCCAGCCGGCAGCACACAUCCCAGAGCCCCAUUUGGAAAUGACCUCCUCACCCUCUGUCUGCAAAAUGCCUGCUCACAGACCAGGCCAGUCUCCACUCUUCCCACCAUCCAUUGUAUUUACUCACUUGGUCACCCCACAUGGCUGGCUGGGGGGUCUCACUCAUCCCUGCAACAAACUGUUUAAUGUUCACUCCCUGACCUAGACAGAACAUCCACACUCCUCAGGGCCCUAGGGCGCCUUCACAACAUGCCUGCUGUCUUCCACCUCAGCUGAGGCCUCUCCCUGCACAGGCAUCCUGGGGGCGGCCUUAAGGGUGCAAUAGGCUCUUCCUCAGCCCCACAUGCCCUGCACCCUGCCUUGGAGACCAUGCUCACUGGGGUUUAGUCCUCCUUCUGGCGUCUGCACUGUACACACACCUGUCCUCACAUGUGGCAAUGCUUUCCCUUUACAUGACUCAGCCGCCUGCAAGCUCUACCUUGUGUGCUGUGCACUGUGCUGUGGGCUGGAAUGACCACGAUAAAGACAUGACCUCGAUUUUCAGAGAAGCAUCCACACAGAUCAUCUCAGCUGUAAUAAAAAUGAGACGAGCUCUGGCUGGUGUGGUUCA